rnacentral:rRNA from 1 species
GACGAACGCUGGCGGCAUGCCUAACACAUGCAAGUCGAACGGACCGAACUGAAGGAAGUUUUCGGAUGGAAUUCAGUGAGGUUAGUGGCGGACGGGUGAGUAACGCGUGGGUAACCUGCCCAUAAGAGGGGGAUAACAUCCGGAAACGGGUGCUAAUACCGCAUAGGUUUCUUGGUCGCAUGAUCGAGAAAGGAAGACGGCCUUUGUGCUGUCGCUUAUGGAUGGACCCGCGGCGUAUUAGUUAGUUGGUGAGGUAAUGGCUCACCAAGACGAUGAUACGUAGCCGACCUGAGAGGGUNAUCGG